rnacentral:lncRNA from 1 species
AGCCUUUGUAGUUCUGAGCUCAGAGAGGGGGUGACACAUACUGGGCUUCAGGUCAGAAGCCUGGCUUGGGUGGCUUUUGGAGAAAUUUUCCCUCUGCUCCCAAACUCUUAAAAGGUGCUCAUCACACCACUGGCCUCCAAUCACAGCAUAAGCACGUGUUCCAAAGGCCAUCCUCCAGCAGAGAUUUCGGCAGUGGUACCUGUUGGCUGGCUCAUGGGGUCCUUUCCUUUUUCCAUUCCCUGGAAGCCGUCAACUGGACUGAAUACAACAUCUUUGCGUCUUUUUCUUCACCCUCCCCACAUGCUUGCAUCUCCCAGACUCCUAGGGUUAAUCCCCAGGACAACCUUGCUUUGAAAGAAAAAAUGUGGUGAGCCUACUUGAAGAUUUGGAUUCCAAGAGGCCUCUGUCUGUCCUGCCUCAGCCAGAGCCAGACAGCCAGCUCAAGGAGAUGGGCAAUUUACAGAGAAAGCAGCAUGGAUGCUGUGGGGCACCACCUCCUUGAGGACCAAGGCACUCCAGCUGCCAGGAAUUUGGCUGCUAACCUCACACAGCUGAGCCUUCCAUGAAAAUUGCUCUCUGCCAAAGAGAACUUCCUAGUCCAAGGUCAUGUCUACUCUCCAGAGAUGUGACUGGAGUGAUUUGCACCCGGAUGCCUAGACUCGCCAUCUGCUCAAAGACUGCUCAGAAAGCCCUCCCAUGCAUUCCCCUGCUGCAUACCAGCCCACUCUGCCUGCAGCUGCUGUCUGCAGGACUUCAUAUCUAUGCCACACUGUGUAAAAGCUGUGCUUCAAGAAAUCACAAAAACAUUUUCCUGCACCUACUACACAGCCUGAGUGCGGCAUAAGUUGACCUUGCUUGCUAAGAAAUGGGGCAAGAAAUGCUUUUUUGUGUGUGUCAUGUCUGUUUGUUUUUCAAUUAAGAGAGGAAAGCAUUAGGCAGAUGGAAUGUACAUGUGAGGAUGAGGAGACAGAAAACAAGUAGCCCUUUCCAUCAAGAUAGAGGGUUUUCUGGGGUUGCUGGCUAUUGAAUGUCACUCCUGAUUUCUCUUUCCAAGGCACUGUACCACCAGCCUACUGAGAUUGUGUGGGAGCUUUCAUGGGGGUUGUAUUUCACUGAUGAAAAUAAAUUUUUUGCAUAAUGUGAA